rnacentral:rRNA from 1 species
UACGGGGGGAGCAAGCGUUGUUCGGAUUUACUGGGCGUAAAGGGCGCGUAGGCGGCGUGACAAGUCACUUGUGAAAUCUCCGGGCUUAACCCGGAACGGUCAAGUGAUACUGUCGUGCUAGAGUGCGGAAGGGGCUACUGGAAUUCUCGGUGUAGCGGUGAAAUGCGUAGAUAUCGAGAGGAACACCUGCGGCGAAGGCGGGUAGCUGGGCCGACACUGACGCUGAUGCGCGAAAGCCAGGGGAGCGAACGGG